UCAGCCCCAAACGUGCCCACGUCUCCUCUCCAUGGCUUGUCUCCUACCCCAGUCUAACCUGUGCUCUCUCCUCCUGCAGCCAGUCUCCCAAGGGGCUCUGCUGACGGAGUAUUCCCCAAAUUGUUUGUCUCUGUCCUGGACUCCAGCUCCCUUGAAGACGCAACCAACAAUUUCUCCUUCCAGGAGUUCCCACAGGACCCAUGUCCUGAUCAGCACGUUCCCACCGCUUCUGACCAGCCCUUGGUCUCUGCCUCCUCAGAGUGGCAGCGGAAGCUGGAGGCGGCCGAGGCACUGCUGAUUCUGAAGGAAUCUUCCCAGGCCCCUUCAGGCUCCAUCUCCCUGCUCCAGCCUUGAGCUGCACCAGCUCCUGCUGGGGAUAGAGGGCUCCAGCCCUCCAGCGCCCCUCUCCAACCCAGGCCAGCCAGCUCUGUUUCUCUGCCUGUUGGACACCUGGGGCGCAUCUCCCUCUUGAGCUAGAAGCCCAAAGGAGGAGGCUUCUCUAGAGUAGUGCCUGUGUAUGCAUUUGCAAAAUGUUUAGUGUUCA